rnacentral:tRNA from 1 species
GUGGGUACAGCUCAGUGGUGGAGUGCAUGCUUAGUGUGCACGAGUCCUGGGUUCCAUCCCCAGUGCCUCUG